CCACUAUUAAGGAUCGACCGACCCGAGAUUUUUAUAGUGGGCGCCGACUGAGUUAUGGCUCCACAUCACAUGCGCAGGCUUCAUGCGAUGCAACGACAGAUGACUACAUUCAGGAUCUAGAGACGAUGAUGCCUUCUACUGGAGCUGACAACACCACCGAUACAUGUCAUCCUACACCG